UUUUAGAAACGUGAUUUUUGAGUUCUACCACUUGGGUUAACUACUAAACACAUAUAUCUAGCACCCCUCUUUGACGGAUCGCAAAAAGGAAUUUUAGAUUUAAAACGGUGAAAUUUCAAAGUAUAUAGAAAUUUUGAUUUUCAAAACUAGAAAAUUAUUUUUCCUUAUUCUUUUGAUUCCCACCAAAUCAACACCCAAUAUGGUUAUAUCUAAACAUGA
rnacentral:lncRNA from 1 species